GCUCAGGAUGAACGCUAGCUACAGGCUUAACACAUGCAAGUCGAGGGGUAGCAGGGUAGCAAUACCGCUGACGACCGGCGCACGGGUGAGUAACACGUAUCCAACCUUCCCAUAACUCGGGGAUAGCCUUUCGAAAGAAAGAUUAAUACCCGAUAGCACUUUAUUAAGGCAUCUUAAGAAAGUUAAAGAUUUAUUGGUUAUGGAUGGGGAUGCGUUCCAUUAGAUAGUUGGUGAGGUAACGGCUCACCAAGUCUUCGAUGGAUAGGGGUUCUGAGAGGAAGGUCCCCCACAUUGGUACUGAGACACGGACCAAACUCCUACGGGAGGCAGCAGUGAGGAAUAUUGGUCAAUGGGCGAGAGCCUGAACCAGCCA
rnacentral:rRNA from 1 species